AGUGAACGCUGGCGGUAGGCCUAACACAUGCAAGUCGAACGGCAGCACAGGAGAGCUUGCUCUCUGGGUGGCGAGUGGCGGACGGGUGAGGAAUACAUCGGAAUCUACUUUUUCGUGGGGGAUAACGUAGGGAAACUUACGCUAAUACCGCAUACGACCUACGGGUGAAAGCAGGGGACCUUCGGGCCUUGCGCGAUUGAAUGAGCCGAUGUCGGAUUAGCUAGUUGGAGGGGUAAAGGCCCACCAAGGCGACGAUCCGUAGCUGGUCUGAGAGGAUGAUCAGCCACACUGGAACUGAGACACGGUCCAGACUCCUACGGGAGGCAGCAGUGGGGAAUAUUGGACAAUGGGCGCAAGCCUGAUCCAGCCAUACCGCGUGGGUGAAGAAGGCCUUCGGGUUGUAAAGCCCUUUUGUUGGGAAAGAAAUCCAGCUGGCUAAUACUCGGUUGGGAUGACGGUACCCAAAGAAUAAGCACCGGCUAACUUCGUGCCAGCAGCCGCGGUAA
rnacentral:rRNA from 1 species